CCAAACUGGAAGAAACUCCACAGGAAUGUUAACUGGCAUGUGCUGAUUUCCAGUUUGACUUUGGAAUUUUCAAAAUGGCUGCCGUUACCAUGGAAACAGCUAAAAUAUCAAAAAUUCUAACUCUUUCGUUAUAACAUCCAACUGGAUGAAACUUUAUGAAAAUGUUCUCCAGUAUGCCAAGAUGUCAAGACAAUAUAUGGAUAGUUCAAAAUGGCCGCCGUUGUCAUGGAAACUGGGGCCAAGUUUUGCAUUGACCCUAUGGAAAAAUGCAUAAAAUCAGCAUUUUCUCAGAGAGUAGUGCACCAAAGUCAAUGAAACUGUAUUGAUAUAUAACAUGACAUGUGGCAAUGAGAUGUACGCUUUUAGAAUUUUGGAAUUAUCUACUGUAACCAUGGUUGCAGCACAAAUGUUCAAAAUUUCCAAAAAAAAUUAAGUGCUGCAAACUGGAUGAAACUUUACAGGAAUAGUGACUGACAUGUGCGGAGUUGCAUUUUGAAGUUGGAAUUUCCAAAAUGGCCGCCGUAACCAUGGAAACAGCAAAAUUGUCCAAAAUUUCAAAAUGCUUCAAACUUAAUGAAAUUUUGCAAAAAUGAUAACUUGCAAGGGUAGAUGCCUUCUUUGACUUUGGAAUUUUCAAAAAUGGCUGCCGCUCGCCUGGCAAUGGGGGACGAGGGUGCCAUCCGUUAUUGCUAGC
rnacentral:lncRNA from 1 species